rnacentral:tRNA from 1 species
GUCCCAGUAGCUCAGCUGGAUAGAGCGACAGCCUCCUAAGCUGUAGGUCGUGAGUUCGAAUCUCGCCUGGGACGUCA